GCUGAUUCAAUAGCUCAGUUGGUUAGAGCAUGGUGUUGACAGCACCAAGGUUGCAGGUUCGAUCCCAAUACGGGACAGCU